rnacentral:rRNA from 1 species
CCUACGGGAGGCAGCAGUGAGGAAUAUUGGUCAAUGGGCGCGAGCCUGAACCAGCCAAGUAGCGUGAAGGAUGACUGCCCUACGGGUUGUAAACUUCUUUUAUAAAGGAAUAAAGUGAGGCACGUGUGCCUUCUUGUAUGUUCUUUAUGAAUAAGGAUCGGCCAACUCCGGUCCAGCAGCCGCGGUAAUACGGAGGAUGCGAGCGUUAUCCGGAUUUAUUGGGUUUAAAGGGAGCGUAGAUGGGUUGUUAAGUCAGUUGUGAAAGUUUGCGGCUCAACCGUAAAAUUGCAAUUGAUACUGGCAGUCUUGAGUACAGUUGAGGUAGGCGGAAUUCGUGGUGUAGCGGUGAAAUGCAUAGAUAUCACGAAGAACUCCGAUUGCGAAGGCAGCUUACUAAACUGCCACUGACAUUGAUGCUCGAAAGUGUGGGUAUCAAACAGGAUUAGAUACCCCUGUAGUC